GAUGAACGCUGGCGGCGUGCCUAAUACAUGCAAGUCGAGCGAAGCGGGGAAGGGUGAGGAACACGUGGAUAACCUCCUAUAGGACUAGGAUAACAUCGGGAAACCGGAGCUAAACCGCAGACUUAUAGAUGGAUCCGUGCUGCAUUCGGUAGUGGGUAAGGGAACGGCUUACCAAGGCAACGAUGCAUAGCCGACCUGAGAGGGUGAUCGGCCACACUGGAACUGAGCCACGGUCCAGACUCCUACGUGAGGCAGCAGUAGGGAAUCUUCCGCAAUGGGCGAAAGCCUGACGGAGCAACGCCGCGUGAGUGAUGAAGGUCUUCGGCUCGUAAAACUCUGUUAUUAGGGAAGCGGUACCUAAUCAGAAAGCCACGGCUAACUACGUGCCAGCAGCCGCGGUAAUAC
rnacentral:rRNA from 1 species